UUUGCUCCAUUAACAUGGAGAGUGAAGGGCUCAGUCCCUGAGAUGAUGAAGACUGGGAGAAGCAGGUUGGCAUGGGAGGAGGAGGGGAAAAUCAGUUCCUUUCUGUACACGAUAUAUUUGAAGUAUCUGUUAGACAUCCUAGUGGACAGAAGAACUAGGUAGUUGGAUAUUCAAGUUUGGAGUCUAAGGGAGACGUCUACUUGAAAGAUAUAAAUGUGGGGGUUGUCAGGUUAUAUAGGCAUUUAAAGCUGUAAUACUGAAUGACAUCACUUAGGCAGUGAGUAUACAGAGAGGAGAAAUCAAAGGACCAAGCCCUGGGACACUCCAAAAUUUAAAGUUGGGUUAAUAAAGAGGAACUGAAGGUGGUCUCCAAGACCGCAUGAAGCAAGAAGGCAGAUCAACUGUGUCAAAUGGGCCAAGAGCUGUCAAGUAAAAGGAGAACUGAGAAUUAACCACUGGAUUUAGUUCCAUGAAGGUCAUCGACAACCUUGAGAACACAUUUUGGUCCAGUGGUGGAGGCAAAUCCUGCCUAGAAGUGAAUCAAGAAGGAAUAAGAGACAAUGAUUGUAAAAGAUGUUUUCAAAGACUGUUGCUAUAAAGGAAUGCAGGGAAAUGGAGAGGAGUGAAUGGAAGGAAUUGUUUAGAUGAGAUAUUCGGCAAGUUUGAUGAUGAUGGAAAAGAUCCUUCAGAAGAGAGAAAAAUUUGAUAAUGCAGGAGAGAUGCUCAAGUGGUGUCCUGGAGUAGGUUGGACAGAAUGGGAUGUAGAGCAUGAAAGAGAGAUUGGCCUUAGCUUGAGAAAGAAACAGUUCACUCAUUUUGUCCAGACGAAGGUGCUUGUGGUACGGUAGCAAUUGUGCUGGUGGUGACACUGGGAAGUGCUUUUAUGAUUGUUUUUAUUUUCUUAAUGAUUUAGGAAGCCAGAUUACUAGCCAAGGUGUUGAGUCAAAGAGGAGAAGGUGUGAAAUAAUAGUGAUCUAAGAGAGAGUGGGAAAGUGAAGGAACUAAAGAAAUGGAGCAGGGCUCCCUGGCGCGCCCCCUUGAGGUUGUGAAGUUAAAGGGAAACCAGUGAGCUUGGUUCAUGCUCCAGUCUCCCAACCCUUCACACACACACACACACACACACACAAACUGUAUUCAGGUUAGGUGUUCAUCUUACCUCCUUCACUGCAUCUUAAACUCUUAAAAUACACAUCUCUUAAUCAUUUUCAAACUUCCAGCACCUAGCAAAAACGCCUGAUAAAUAUUUGUGGAAUAGUGAUGACGUGAAGCACUGAACACACAGAAACAGGGCAGAUUCCUGCCCCUCCCAUCUUGAGGCCACAUAAAUCAGACUUACAAGCAUCUCGUAGUUACGGCAGUGUUGAAUAGCAUCCUACCUCUAGGCACACUGAGCACAGAGGCUCAUACCUAGUAGCACUAAAUAGAUAUUUGGCUAAUAAGAAAUGACCGAGGGAAGCCUUUUAGGCUCCAUUAUGCAUUCUUGUGUAUUUGGAGACUCAAGUCCCCAGCCUGGUCAGGAAAAUAGCCUGUCCUUAUGCUUUAUAAGAACAAUAGAUUUUUUCAUUUUGAGAUCUGCAAGCCACACCAAGACAAGCUUCAAACAAAGAACCUGUUCUCACAACCUAUGAUCAUCCGCCACCCCAGGUUCCAGAAAGGUAACCUGAGGCAUCUGAGGUCCUACAAAUCCGAAGGUCAUGCUCUGUCUGGAAACAGUCAAAUAUAAUCUGUGAUAUGCCAGCCAUCAGCUUGCUUCGGACAAAGGAUAAAGAAGAAGUCAAGUUUCCAUCCUAACUCUCCCCAAACAGGUGAGGGAAGAGGCAUGAAGGAAGUCCCACAGCCACACCAGGAGACAUAAUCAGAGCCAGAUGCCAAGCUUUCUGAAUCAAGUGGACUCACAUGCCAUAAAAAUGAGUGGUUUAUUAUAGGCCUCUAAUUAACAAAAUAUGGUUUUUACAUACAGCCAACAGAGUGUACCCCACUGUGUGCCCAUAAAACACGCUUGGCAAAUUGGAAAUAACAGAAUGGCCAUUUUCACCACAUUAAGAAGACUGAGCUCGAGUUUUGUAUUACGUCUACCUUGCAUCAACCCUACAAGGAGCAAAGUCAAAUAGUCAGUCAAUAUUUAGUACAUCAUUCACUUAAUAAAAUCUUUUGAGUGUUUACUGUAAGCAAAACUAACAUACGCAGAAUCGUUGGAAGUAAAAACUUGACUCCAUCUAUAGCCCAAAUUUCAGGCAUGCCUUUAAAUUACAACUAUUUUGUUUAAAAUUUUGUCAAAUGGCCAUUUUGUAAAUUAACUUACUAAAAUGACCGUUCAGGGACAGAGGACAGACAGGAUCAUCUGGGGCCAUAUUAUUCCUCCAUUGUCCCUUUAGAGAGCCUGUUCAACUGUCACAAAACAAGGCAGUAUAAAUGUGGCUCCAGUGCUCAUCAACUCUUUCUUAAUACUGCUCUCAUUAUAUUAAUACUCAAGGACAGCGAUGAUGGUCGUGACAAGCGUCAUAAAUGAUGAAGUACUGCAUCUUCGCGAGGUAAUUGAUUGAGGCACAUUCAGGCUAUUGAGCUUUCCACAAUUGGCAGGUGUGUCUUUUAUAAAAUCCCAGAUCAAGGGCCAGCCUGGGUAGCCCAGUGGUUAAGUUCAGCACGCUCUGCUUUUUUUGGUGGCUCGGGUUCAGUUCCUGGGCGCAGACCUACACCACUCUGUUAGUGGCCAUGCUGUGCUGGCAGCCCACAUACUAAAAAGUAGAGGAAGAUUGGCACUGAUGUUCACUCAGGGUGAAUCUUCCAUAAGAAAAUUAAAAAAUAAAAAUAAUUUUAAAAACCCCAAGUCUAAAGAAAGAGAGAAAGGUCUUCACUGGCCUCCGUGGUCCACAGCUCCUCUAUAUACAGUGUGAGAAGGACAGCUCUGGGACCAGGCGAGGCUCUCUAUGGCUCUGUUCCUUAGGAGUGGGGGCAGCAGCUGCAUCACUUACACGCAUGGUGGCAUUCCACUGCCAGCAUCUGCCAGCCACUGCUGAACUGCGCUAACUGAGAAGUAAAACUCCUUGCCAGUGAGUGCACUGAUUGGCGUGCCGAGAGCCGACUCCCAGCAGUAGAGAGGCCUGCAGCCAGAGGACAAUCGAUGACGAUGAACAGGUCAAAUAAAAGCAUGUUCCUGGGGUCCAACUUGGUUUUGAAAGCUGAAGUGUCCUGAUCGUAUCCAGUUAACCACAUGUAGGGCUGCUGUAUUUUCUCUGCUCUGAAAACGCAGGUGUUACCACACCAGGAAGUUGGCUGCGUUAGGAGGUUCUCGAAAGCGCUGCUUCUGGUACUAAGGUCCCACUUAUUGGUAGCCCCACGCCCCUCGCAUCCCUUCUCACAGUCUCUCAAGCCCCAUGUGGAGUAUGGAAUUGAAUAAACAAGGUUCCAUCCAGAGAAGACCAAGUCCUCCUUAUGCGUAUUCAUUCCUGGAGAGUGCUAAGCAUCUCUUCUGAGACGGACUGAGAAUGCCCUGUAAGAAACCAUGUCUGAAAGCAGAGCACAGUCUCUGGGAGGAGCUUCCUGGUGCUGGAAACAACAAGGGUAUGAUUUCUAUUAAUCUGCGAAAAUGCACUCGUUCAAAUGAGAGAAGUGGAUGGAUAAAAAACUCAUCAGGGUAUGUUGAUGCCACACUCCUACUCCUUUAGGUAUUGUCUUGUAGAUUUCAACCAACAAUCAAGUAUCAACACUAAGCAUCAAUCAAUAAUCUAGUAAUCAUCAAGUAUCAAUUGAUCAACAUUUAUUAUCUAUUCUUUGCUAGAAAGGGAUGUAAGAUAAAAACAAGACAUUUUCCCUACCCUUUUUAUAUUUAAGGCAUACGUAAUUCGCUUAAUAAAAACUUUUAAGUAUAUACUCUAGGCAAAACUAACAUACAUAGAAUCAUUGGAAAUAAAAGCUGGACUCUAUCUGUAGCCCAAAUUUCAGACAUGCUUUUAAAUCUCCAAACAAAUUUAAACUUUUUUUUCCAUAUAGAGAACAUUCAAAUAUUUAAAGAUAAUAUACAUAUUGUCUUCUUUGUUCCAGGCUAAAAUUUUUUUAACUGUUUCUCAUAUGAUAAGAUUUUUUAAAUCAUGCCCCAUCUUAAUUAUCUCUAAAUACUCUCCCAUUUUAAGCAUCAUUCUUAAUAUGAUCUGGCUCUAUGCCUUCACUCUAUGAAACUCUACCUUCUUAUCUGUGAAAUGGCAGAGUUAGGCUAGAUUAAUAAGAUUGUAUCCUCCUAUCAUUAAAAAAACUGAUUUGAACAAACUUCCGCUCCCAUAGGUCUACGCAUCUAUGCAAUAUCCUCCGAGAGCACUGUCUUCACAUCAGACAUGUUGAAAAGAGAUUAGGAUUGCGUGGCAACCACCGUAAAGGAUGUGGUUUCUAGAGAAUUUGUCAGGAACAGAGGUCGUAUGUUGUCUAGUGUGACAGAUGGACGGAUUCAUUUACAAGGUCACCAGAUGCGUGACCUACAAAGGCUCUUAGCUCUUCGGGUCCAACUCACUCUUUUUACUGAGUGGAAAAGAGAUCCAGGUGCCAAGUCACUUGUUCACGAGCAACACUGUGUGUAGCAUACUUAUUUUCCAAAAACGUUAGCAGCACGAUUUCUGAUCCCACCUGGUCUUAGAGACCCUUGCCACACCUCCAUCAAGAAGUAGGGUCUGUCUCCCCUCUCCUGGUGACAGCUUCCAGGAAGAGAAUGCAGCAGAAGUGAUGCUGUGUGAGUUCCGAGGCUAGAUCAUAAUAGGCCACGUGGCACAUGGCUCCCUCUCUCUGUCUCAUUCAUCUCUCUGCACAUCUUUGGAGCCCUGAACCACCACAUAAGAAUUCUGGUUUUCCAGAAGCCAACAAACUAGAGAGACCACGUAGAGAGACCAAAGAGAGGCAUCGGAGAGCCCCGCUGGCCAGCCUCCAGCUGUUUGCAUCUUCCCAGCUCAGGAGUCAAAGACGGAGAGCAAGACACAGGCAAUAGAUGCAGGUGGAAUAUUCUCUUAACAACCCAAGUGGAUUUUGAGAGCUGUACACGGUAGUCUGAGGGCAGAAGAAGUGAGAGAAGAAGAGAACGCAGUCUCCAGAGAAAAUUAUUACAGUCCUGACAGUUCUCAAGGGAGAAAUGCCGAGGGAGAAAGAGUAAAAAAUAAUUCUGGGAAAAUAGGAACGUAACAAUGGAGCUUAUUACAAGUUAUUUUUUAACUGAUUGCUGUUAAAUUCUGUACCGGAAAAUUGGGAGAGGCAAUGUCUGAUUUAAUAAAUGAAUGGAUAUCCUUGCCCCCUCGAA